ACUUUCGUGUGACUUGGAGCAUAUCUAAGCAGCAUAUUAACUGCUUUCAUUACAGUAUUAUAAUAACUAUUUAUCCUAGAUUCAGAAUUUAUAAACUUAACUUCAGAGUUGUCAUACCUAAAUCUCUUAGGACCUACCUUUAUCUCUAAAAAAUUAGCGAGAUUAGCGAAAACGAAUAAGCUUUCAAUCGAGUGAUAGCCUGUUUCUUUCCUAUCUAUAAUGUGUAAGAAAAGAUUAAUCUUUGCAUAUGCUUUCACACAAAAACUUUUCAUUAUAUGUCUUCACGAGAAUUAU